AUUGAACGCUGGCGGAAUGCUUUACACAUGCAAGUCGAACGGCAGCACGGACUUCGGUCUGGUGGCGAGUGGCGAACGGGUGAGUAAUAUAUCGGAACGUAUCCAAUAAUGGGGGAUAACUAAUCGAAAGGUUGGCUAAUACCGCAUACGCCCUACGGGGGAAAGCUAGGGACCUUCGGGCCUGGCGUUAAUGGAGCGGCUGAUAUCUGAUUAGCUAGUAGGUGAGGUAAAAGCUCACCUAGGCGACGAUCAGUAGCUGGUCUGAGAGGACGACCAGCCACACUGGAACUGAGACACGGUCCAGACUCCUACGGGAGGCAG
rnacentral:rRNA from 1 species